AAAUUGAAGAGUUUGAUCAUGGCUCAGAUUGAACGCUGGCGGCAGGCCUAACACAUGCAAGUCGAGCGGUAGCACAGAGAGCUUGCUCUCGGGUGACGAGCGGCGGACGGGUGAGUAAUGUCUGGGAAACUGCCUGAUGGAGGGGGAUAACUACUGGAAACGGUAGCUAAUACCGCAUAAUGUCGCAAGACCAAAGUG
rnacentral:rRNA from 1 species